rnacentral:rRNA from 1 species
GACGAACGCUGGCGGCGUGCCUAAUACAUGCAAGUAGAACGCUGAAGAGAGGAGCUUGCUCUUCUUGGAUGAGUUGCGAACGGGUGAGUAACGCGUAGGUAACCUGCCUUGUAGCGGGGGAUAACUAUUGGAAACGAUAGCUAAUACCGCAUAACAAUGGAUGACCCAUGUCAUUUAUUUGAAAGGGGCAAAUGCUCCACUACAAGAUGGACCUGCGUUGUAUUAGCUAGUAGGUGAGGUAACGGCUCACCUAGGCGACGAUACAUAGCCGACCUGAGAGGGUGAUCGGCCACACUGGGACUGAGACACGGCCCAGACUCCUACGGGAGGCAGCAGUAGGGAAUCUUCGGCAAUGGGGGCAACCCUGACCGAGCAACGCCGCGUGAGUGAAGAAGGUUUUCGGAUCGUAAAGCUCUGUUGUGAGUCAAGAACGAGUGUGAGAGUGGAAAGUUCACACUGUGACGGUAGCUUACCAGAAAGGGACGGCUAACUACGUG